rnacentral:rRNA from 1 species
GACGAACGCUGGCGGCGUGCUUAACACAUGCAAGUCGAACGGAAAGGCCCUGCUUUUGUGGGGUGCUCGAGUGGCGAACGGGUGAGUAACACGUGAGUAACCUGCCCUUGACUUUGGGAUAACUUCAGGAAACUGGGGCUAAUACCGGAUAGGAGCUCCUGCUGCAUGGUGGGGGUUGGAAAGUUUCGGCGGUUGGGGAUGGACUCGCGGCUUAUCAGCUUGUUGGUGGGGUAGUGGCUUACCAAGGCUUUGACGGGUAGCCGGCCUGAGAGGGUGACCGGCCACAUUGGGACUGAGAUACGGCCCAGACUGCUACGGGAGGCAGCAGUGGAGAAUAUUGCACAAUGGGCGGAAGCCUGAUGCAGCUACGCCGCGUGCGGGAUGACGGCCUUCGGGUUGUAAACCGCUUUCGCCUGUGACGAAGCGUGAGUGACGGUAAUGGGUAAAGAAGCACCGGCUAACUACGUG